UUAAGAUUGGAGGUGCCAUUUCAGAAAGCAAAUAACCUUAAACAAGGGAAGAACAAGAAACAAGAAAUCCAAGGUGUCUUGAUAAGCUAUGCAAUAAAAUGUAGUUUCAGAAGCAUGAAGGAUUAGGAAGAUAGAGAAAAAUGAAGAGAAACUGAAAAAAAAAAAAAAAGAGAGAGAGUGUUUGUUCUGCAGGUAUCUUCUGCAAAAUCUUCUCUUUCUCACAAGCAACACAAGGAAGAAGCUCUCAACAAGAAAUAUAACCUAAACCAAACCCCAAUAAAUUCAAUUCAGCACAACCAAAACCUUUAAUCCCAACCAUUAGGGAUUGAUUAACAAAAAAUUAUCACCAUUUAUCUCUUUAAUCUUGGGUCAUCUCCUCCAUCAAUCAUACUCAAUCGUGUCUUUUCUCAUAAGCUCAGCUCAGAUUCCAUUUAGGCCUUUGCCUUGUAGCACAUUCAGUAGCAAAACCACAGGUCCAUCCCAUUGCUUCAUUGGUCUUCUUAAUACAGAGCAGACAGAUUGGUAUACAUUUAUGGCUUGAUAGCAUGCCUAGCAAAUGGCAGUAAAUCAUAAUAAUCACAUAGCAUGUCCAGUCAAAUCCCUACUGGGAUGGGUUAAAGGUUUUUGGUUGGGAUAAAAUAUUCAUACACAUCAGUUGCUGGGCAGUGUAGAGACCAGCGAUUAAGUCAGGUUCCAAUUUAGGUCAUUCCAUCCCAGCCCUGGCUCUACAAUCAAUGUCUAAGUUACAUGAACACUUUAAAGUGUGAGAAAUAUAUUUUAUACACAUGAUGCGACAAGGUUUUUGGUACAGGAUAUAUGCCCAGCAUUCCCACAAGUCAGAUUUGUUCUUCACAAAUGUGUUCAACAAAGAAAAAGAACAAAUUUCCAUCACAUUUGAAGUGAGUUUGUUUCUUGUUGGUUAUAUACUUCAAUCUGACCUACAAUAUACUUCAAUCUGCCAGCCAGGCCAAUGCCCAACACUUCUACCAGAGCCCAUGUGACAUGGCUCAACAUUACUGGUUGCUUUCUGGUCUUCCUGUAACCAAUGGUACACUACAAAUUAUGUGAAGUAAACAUCUCAACAUGACUUAACAAUGGCUUUGGCACAUAAUACGCAUUCGACAUGUCUACUAAUCACAUGUGAUUGCUGUUAAACAAAAUACAUGAGCUUAUGUACAUCAAUAUUUGUUACUGACAUAAACAUCCAUAAGUAAUGUCUUUGUAUACAGAACAUCCCUGGGUAAUUGCAUAAAUUUAUGGAUUACAUUCACAACACAGAAAUGCAAAGACAAAUACAAAAUAGAU
rnacentral:lncRNA from 1 species